rnacentral:lncRNA from 1 species
AUUAUAAGUGAUAUGCUUAAAUUCUCUGCUCGUCAAUAAGGCGAGCAAAAUAUAAUUGUAACACAACGGCCAAUGCCGAAUUUACAAUCGAUCACUGGAGAUAGAAGCUCUCAGGAGAGUUGAUACACAAAGAGAGAUUGGCUUUGUGGUAGUUUUACUGUAUAACCAAGAAGGCAAUGUUUUGCUGGCCAUGUUAAAUAUGCACCUAUCAAUGUUAAGCGCCAG